AUCUGCCCCAGCUCAAAUGUCUCAGACAUUUCUCCUCUUUCCAAUCUCCUCACAGCCUGAUCUAUUGCUAUGUAUGUGGGCAGCAUCUCUGGUUUUUCUUGGGUAACGCACUCGUAGAGUAUUGAAGAGAAGAAAUCCAGCAUUUCCUGUUUCUGGCCCAUGUUCACAGUUGGUUUGCAAAAAUACUCAGCAAACAAUAACAGAGCAGGAUCAGAUGUAAAAGCAGAAAUAUCUUCUGGCUUGAAUGACCGAGCCUCAUUUCCAUGAGUAAUAGUCUG
rnacentral:lncRNA from 1 species